AACUUUUAACAACGGAUCUCUUGGCUCUCGCAUCGACGAAGAACGCAGCGAAAUGCGAUAAGUAAUGUGAAUUGCAGACCUUGUGAAUCAUCGAAUCUUUGAACGCACAUUGCGCCCAUUGGUAUUCCGAUGGGCAUGCCUGUUCGAGCGUCAUUAUCAAACGUCAAGCUUGGCUUGCUAUUGGACUCGCUGUCCGGCUAAAGGACAUGUCCCAAAGAUAAUGACCGUGACGAGUGUGACCCUAGAUGCAAUGAGCUUUGUUAAGCACGCAUGUAAGGGACCACCCGGCCCGGUCUCAACCAUUUUUCUAGGUUGACCUCGGAUCAGGUAGGGAUACCCGCUGAAUUUAAGCAUAUCAAUAAGCGGAGGCU
rnacentral:misc_RNA from 1 species